UUAGAGAAGGGAUUUUUUUUUUUUUUCUAGCACAAGCCAAACCUAAAGCUACCUAUGUUUAAAAGUUGAAAUUUUUAUACUCAAAUGUGAAAUAAUAUUUUGAAAACUACUCCAGCUCCAACAAAUAUGAUUGUUAUAGACUUUGUUAUAAAUGAAAUGAAGUCAUUUACUGAAAGAUGUUAUAAAGUAAGUAAUAUGGCUGCUCUAUAGACCUUAAAUUCUGUUAUAAAUGAAGUCAUUUAUUAAAAGAUGUUAUAAUGUAAUAUGACAUGGUUAGAGUAAUAGUGGUGGGAAUGAAAUUUAGAAUCUUCGUUUUCAGACUCUGAUCUCCCAGGUGGUCAUGCUUUGGGUAAAUUUCACUGGGUUUAGACCUGAAACAAUUCUUAGAAGCUGAUUGACCUCUGGUAAACAAUACUUCUUUCUUAAGCAUGCAAAUGAAUAACCAUUUAUAAUAUUCCAACAGAAUAAGAAUUUGAAAGUUUUUAUGUAAAUAUUUAAUACUGAUGAUUCUUUAAAAACAUGUAAAAUUGAAAACACUGGCAUAAUUGUAGACAUUGUAAGUAAAUACCUGCAUAUGUAUAUACAGGUAUAUUUACAAACGCACAGAAGAAAAAAUUUCCUUUUUUUUUUUAAGCUACAAAAGAAAAAAAUUUAAAUAUUACUUCUUGAUUUUUUUUCCAUAAAAUAAUGAACUACAAGAUACGUCACAGGAGUUCAGUACAUCCCUCAUCUUGAAAAAAUAGGCACAUGCAGCAUUUUGUAGAAAUUGGUUAAGGGAUUUGGGUAAGGGAAAAGAGGACAAACAUCCAUAAGUCAUCUGAUUGUGUUUAAAAUGCUCCAUUUGUACUCAUGUACUUAAUAGUUAUGUCUGAGAGAAAUCUCUCCUGUUUUCCUUUUGUGGAGAUGAUAAACAAGUGAUUAUUGCCAUACAAAAGUAAAUCAGACUGUGUUACAACAAGGUCAAAUCUUCUGUGCGGUAAAGCUUUCAAAGCACAUUUAUCUUUGAGAACUGAUGUUAACAAUAGUUUUUGAGGAGUUACUUUGUGCCUGUGAUAACAAGGUUUGACCUGUAAAAAGCUUUUAUUUGUUUGUUUGUAUAUAUUGCAAACUGAGCACCGCUAGUAUAGUUAGCAUCCAUUACCAACAUAGCUACAAUUAUUUUUUCUUGUGAUAAGAACUUUUAGGAUCUACUCUCUUAGCAACUUUUAAAUAUACAGUACAGUGUUAUUAACUGUAGUCACCAUGCCAUGCAUUAUAUCUUCAAGGCGGAUUUAGUUUACAACUAGAAGUUUGUACCUUUUGAUCUUCUUCACCCAUUUUUCCUACCACCAAUCUGUUCUCUGUAUCUAGGAAUUUGUUUGUUUGUUGGUUGGUUGGUUGGUUUAUUUGUUAGAUUCCACAUACAGAUGAGAUCCUAAGGCAUUUAUCUUUUUCUUUGUGACUUAUUUCAUUCUGCAUAAUGCUCUCAAUUUCUGUCCAUGUUGUUGCAAAUGGCAAAAUUUCUUUCUUUUUUAUGGAUGAAAAUAUUUUCUGAUGUGGAUGUGUGAAUGUAUGAAUGUGUAUGUAUAUACUUACAUACACAGAGGGUUGAGUUGUCAACAGCAUGAGUUUGAACUGUGCAAGUCCAUGUAUACAUGAAUUUUUUUCAGUAGUUAAUGAUGGAGUACUACAUGAUCCUCAGUUGGUUGAUCCAUAGAUAUGAAACCAUGCCUGGAUAUGGAGAAACCUCAGAUACCAAGGGCCAGCCAUAAAUUACUCUCUGGUUUUCCACUGAGGGGAGGGUUGGUGCUUCUGUCACGUUGCUCAAGUGCCAAAUGUAUAUAUGUGUGUGUGUACAUAUAUAUUUAUGUGUGCAUAUUACACAAAUAUGUAUAUAUUUAUCACAAUUUAUUUAUCCAUUCAUCCGUCAGUGGACACUUAGGUUGCUUCCAAGACUUGGUUACUGUGAAUAAUGCUGUGAUUACCAUGGGGGUACAUAGAGCUAUUCAGGUUUGUGUUUUCUUUUCCUUUAGAUAAAUGCCUAGACAUAGUUUGUUGGAUCAUAUGGGAGUUCUAUUUUUAAUUUUUCAAAGAAUCCCUAUGAUGUUUCCCAUGGUAGCUGUACCAAUUUUACAUUCCCUGCAGUAUUGUAAGAGCGUAAUGACUUUUAUACUAUAAAGAACUAUAAUUUAAAUACAUGAUCUCUGCUUUAGAAUGGAUUCUUAUGAUUUAGAAAUAUUUCAAAUUUUUUCUUUGUUUUGCAUUUUUUUCCCUUUCAGAAGCCACUAAAGAAAAACUACUAACAAUGUGGCUUUUAAAAAUAUUAUCCUCUAUGGUCCUUAUAUUAAAGGUUUAAAACUAUAGUAUUCUUUUAUCAACACUAGAGUAAUAAGGAGUAUAUCACCAAUAAUUUUCUUAUUAUGGCCACCAAAAACUGAAUUUAAAAAUGCAAAACAUUAGAGGAUAUCAUUCAAAUGAAAAUUUUCUGAAGUAGCAUCAUAAAACUAUCAUAAAUAAAAUA
rnacentral:lncRNA from 1 species